GACGAACGCUGGCGGCGUGCCUAAUACAUGCAAGUAGAACGCUGAAGAGAGGAGCUUGCUCUUCUUGGGAUGAGUUGCGAACGGGUGAGUAACGCGUAGGUAACCUGCCUUGUAGCGGGGGAUAACUAUUGGAAACGAUAGCUAAUACCGCAUAACAAUGGAUGACACAUGUCAUUUAUUUGAAAGGGGCAAAUUGCUCCACUACAAGAUGGACCUGCGUUGUAUUAGCUAGUAGGUGAGGUAACGGCUCACCUAGGCGACGAUACAUAGCCGACCUGAGAGGGUGAUCGGCCACACUGGGACUGAGACACGGCCCAGACUCCUACGGGAGGCAGCAGUAGGGAAUCUUCGGGCAAAUGGGGGCAACCCUGACCGAGCAACGCCGCGU
rnacentral:rRNA from 1 species